AACGCGAAGAACCUUACCUGGGUUUGACAUGCACAGGACGGUCGUAGAGAUACGGCUUCCCUUGUGGUCUGUGUGCAGGUGGUGCAUGGCUGUCGUCAGCUCGUGUCGUGAGAUGUUGGGUUAAGUCCCGCAACGAGCGCAACCCUUGUCUCAUGUUGCCAGCGCGUUAUGGCGGGGACUCGUGAGAGACUGCCGGGGUCAACUCGGAGGAAGGUGGGGAUGACGUCAAGUCAUCAUGCCCCUUAUGUCCAGGGCUUCACACAUGCUACAAUGGCCGGUACAAAGGGCUGCGAUGCCGUGAGGUUAAGCGAAUCCUUUAAAGCCGGUCUCAGUUCGGAUCGGGGUCUGCAACUCGACCCCGUGAAGUCGGAGUCGCUAGUAAUCGCAGAUCAGCAACGCUGCGGUGAAUACGUUCCCGGGCCUUGUA
rnacentral:rRNA from 1 species